rnacentral:rRNA from 1 species
UUGAUCCUGGCUCAGGAUGAACGCUGGCGGUAUGCUUAACACAUGCAAGUCGAACGGGAUGCUUAGGCAUCCAGUGGCGGACGGGUGAGUAACGCGUGAGAAUCUGGCUCCAGGUCGGGGAUAACAGUUGGAAACGACUGCUAAUACCGGAUGUGCCGAAAGGUGAAAGAUUUAUUGCCUGGAGAUGAGCUCGCGUCUGAUUAGCUAGUUGGUGGUGUAAGGGACCACCAAGGCGUCGAUCAGUAGCUGGUCUGAGAGGAUGAUCAGCCACACUGGGACUGAGACACGGCCCAGACUCCUACGGGAGGCAGCAGUGGGGAAUUUUCCGCAAUGGGCGAAAGCCUGACGGAGCAAUACCGCGUGAGGGAGGAAGGCUCUUGGGUCGUAAACCUCUUUUCUCAAGGAAGAAGAAAGUGACGGUACUUGAGGAAUAAGCAUCGGCUAACUCCGUGCCAGCAGCCGCGGUAAUACGGAGGAUGCAAGCGUUAUCCGGAAUGAUUGGGCGUAAAGGGUCUGCAGGUGGAACUGAAAGUCUGCUGUUAAAGAGUUUGGCUUAACCAAAUAAAAGCGGUGGAAACUACAGAACUAGAGUGUGGUAGGGGCAAAAGGAAUUCCUGGUGUAGCGGUGAAAUGCGUAGAUAUCAGGAAGAACACCGGUGGCGAAAGCGUUUUGCUAGACCAUAACUGACACUGAGGGACGAAAGCUAGGGGAGCGAAUGGGAUUAGAUACCCCAGUAGUCCUAGCCGUAAACGAUGGAUACUAGGCGUGGCUUGUAUCGACCCGAGCCGUGCCGGAGCUAACGCGUUAAGUAUCCCGCCUGGGGAGUACGCACGCAAGUGUGAAACUCAAAGGAAUUGACGGGGGCCCGCACAAGCGGUGGAGUAUGUGGUUUAAUUCGAUGCAACGCGAAGAACCUUACCAAGACUUGACAUCCUGCGAAUCCUGGUGAAAGCUGGGAGUGCCUUCGGGAGCGCAGAGACAGGUGGUGCAUGGCUGUCGUCAGCUCGUGUCGUGAGAUGUUGGGUUAAGUCCCGCAACGAGCGCAACCCUCGUUUUUAGUUGCCAGCAUUAAGUUGGGCACUCUAGAGAGACUGCCGGUGACAAACCGGAGGAAGGUGAGGAUGACGUCAAGUCAGCAUGCCCCUUACGUCUUGGGCUACACACGUACUACAAUGCUACGGACAGAGGGCAGCGAGCCAGGGAUGGCAAGCGAAUCCAGAAACCGUAGCUCAGUUCAGAUCGAAGGCUGCAACUCGCCUUCGUGAAGGAGGAAUCGCUAGUAAUUGCAGGUCAGCAUACUGCAGUGAAUUCGUUCCCGGGCCUUGUACACACCGCCCGUCACACCAUGGAAGUUGGUCACGCCCGAAGUCAUUAUCCCAACCGAAAGGAGGGGGAUGCCUAAGGUAGGACUA